rnacentral:misc_RNA from 1 species
GUAUACCUAUCAGGUGACAAAGCUCUUUGACGCAUUUCAUCAAACAGCCCAUAUGCAAGCUGCCACUGCUUCGCUCGUAGUACAUUACGCAAUGCAACAUUGUACGCAAACACAGAGGGAGUGUAAAGAGCUACUUCAUUUAUCCAAUCAAGCAAAGCUAGCGAUCGCUGCCAAUCAGACUCACGUGAGAGUAGCGUGACCAUGAACCGCAUCGAAAGAUUUCUACCUUUGUAAGGCGACAUUAACGCAAAC